GAUGAACGCUGGCGGCGUGCCUAAUACAUGCAAGUCGAGCGAACAGACGAGGAGCUUGCUCCUCUGACGUUAGCGGCGGACGGGUGAGUAACACGUGGAUAACCUACCUAUAAUACUGGGAUAACUUCGGGAAACCGGAUCUAAUACCGGAGAAUAUAUUGAACCGCAUGGUUCAAUAGUGAAAGACGGUUUUGCUGUCACUUAUAGAUGGAUCCGCGCCGCAUUAGCUAGUUGGUAAGGUAACGGCUUACCAAGGCAACGAUGCGUAGCCGACCUGAGAGGGUGAUCGGCCACACUGGAACUGAGACACGGUCCAGACUCCUACGGGAGGCAGCAGUAGGGAAUCUUCCGCAAUGGGCGAAAGCCUGACGGAGCAACGCCGCGUGAGUGAUGAAGGUCUUCGGAUCGUAAAACUCUGUUAUUAGGGAAGAACAAAUGUGUAAGUAACUAUGCACGUCUUGACGGUACCUAAUCAGAAAGCCACGGCUAACUACGUG
rnacentral:rRNA from 1 species